rnacentral:rRNA from 1 species
GAUGAACGCUGGCGGCGUGCCUAAUACAUGCAAGUCGAGCGAACAGACGAGGAGCUUGCUCCUCUGAUGUUAGCGGCGGACGGGUGAGUAACACGUGGAUAACCUACCUAUAAGACUGGGAUAACUUCGGGAAACCGGAGCUAAUACCGGAUGAUAUAUUGAACCGCAUGGUUCAAUAGUGAAAGACGGUUUUGCUGUCACUUAUAGAUGGAUCCGCGCUGCAUUAGCUAGUUGGUAAGGUAACGGCUUACCAAGGCAACGAUGCGUAGCCGACCUGAGAGGGUGAUCGGCCACACUGGAACUGAGACACGGUCCAGACUCCUACGGGAGGCAGCAGUAGGGAAUCUUCCGCAAUGGGCGAAAGCCUGACGGAGCAACGCCGCGUGAGUGAUGAAGGUCUUCGGAUCGUAAAACUCUGUUAUUAGGGAAGAACAAAUGUGUAAGUAACUAUGCACGUCUUGACGGUACCUAAUCAGAAAGCCACGGCUAACUACGUG